rnacentral:rRNA from 1 species
CGCCUUGCCAGCCCGCUCAGAACUCAAAGGAAGUUGACGGGGGCCCGGCGACAAGCGGUGGAGUAUGUGGUUAAUUCGAUGCAACGCGAAGAACCUUACCUGGUCUUGACAUCCCGGAGACCCUUAGGAAACUAGGGGGUGCUUCCAUCUGGAAGAAUCUGGAGACAGGUGCUGCAUGGCUGUCGUCAGCUCGUGUCGUGAGAUGUUGGGUUAAGUCCCGCAACGAGCGCAACCCUUGCCUUUAGUUGCCAGCAGUUCGGCUGGGCACUCUAAAGGGACUGCCGGUGUUAAACCGGAGGAAGGUGGGGAUGACGUCAAGUCCUCAUGGCCUUUAUGACCAGGGCUACACACGUACUACAAUGGCCGAUACAAAGGGCAGCGACACUGCGAGGUGAAGCCAAUCCCGUAAAAUCGGUCUCAGUCCGGAUUGGAGUCUGCAACUCGACUCCAUGGAGUUGGAAUCGCUAGUAAUCGUGGAUCAGCAUGCCACGGUGAAUACGUUCCCGGGCCUU